AUACGGAGGGUGCAAGCGUUGUUCGGAAUUACUGGGCGUAAAGCGCGCGUAGGCGGUUUGUUAAGUCGGAUGUGAAAUCCCCGGGCUCAACCCGGGAACUGCGCUUAUUACUGAUAGACUAGAGAGCGGGAGAGGGUAGUGGAACUCCCAGUGUAGAGGUGAAAUUCGUAGAUAUUGGGAAGAACACCAGUGGCGAAAGCGACUUUCUGGCUAUUUUCUGACGCUGAGGAGCGAAAGCGUGGGGAGCAAACAGGAUUAGAAACCCCAGUAGUCC
rnacentral:rRNA from 1 species